rnacentral:lncRNA from 1 species
UGCUGGAGCAGGAUGGGGCAUGCGUGCCCCCCACGCAGUGCGGCUGCCUGCAGCUGGGCCAGCCCCAUGGCCCCACGUACCUGGCGGCAGGAGACACCGUCCUCGUGGGCUGCAAGGAGUGUGUGUGCCAGGAGGGUGAGCUGCGCUGCAGCAGCCAGAGCUGCCAGGGGCUUCUCCCCCUGAGCGGCUGGACCGAGUGGACGCCCUGCGGUCC